rnacentral:ncRNA from 1 species
CCCCUUUUGUGGGGUUAAGGCUCCCGGGAGAUGACCGGGUUGAUAGGCCAGAUAUGGAAGACCCGUGAGGGUUGGAGUUGACUGGUACUAAUAAGCCGAGGGCUUGACCAU